GGAUAGAGCUAUCUGCACUCCAUGCAUCAGAAUGACAGUUUGACUUACUCCUUUUUUGUUUCACCCUCCUCUGGGAUUGUUCCAGGCCAGCUGUCAGAAGAGUUUUUGUCAGCGUGUGAAGCUAAUAUUACUUCAUGAGAGGAUAAGGACAAAAUGACCAAAGUGUGUGCGGCUUUUUAAACUUAAUGAUACAAUUUUAAUACCUUUGUAAUGCCAUGUAACUAGGAUAAGUGAAAAAAAUAAAUAUCGAUUCAAAAUAAAACAAAAGGGUAAAUUAGAGGCAGAUUAAUGUUCUGUGGCAUUAAAAGUUGCUAUUUUAAGCAGAGUGGAUGGAGGUGGAGCAGCGGCCAAACUACCUGAUGGCAUUUUGCUAAACAUUGAUUAAUUGACAAACGUGUUUAGAAUUGCUAAUGAGAGUGCAGCAAAAUGCAAAGUCCUGCCUGAGAGCGAGCACGCUCAUUUUGCGCUGCUUUUCUCAGCACUCUCCAAAACUAGAAAGCCUCCAGAAUAAUUGCUGGAUGCGUCACUUCAUGCUCGUAAUUUUAGAAACAACUCCCCCAUCCCCCGUGCCUGCUAAUGCACGUCCACAAAUGGCAGCGGUCCGUCGACCCCCCACCCGCCUUCCCUUCAAGAAGGAAAAAAACAAAAAACAAAACAAAAACAAAAAACAAAAAAAACAGGGUCCCUAUUUUCUGUGACUACAGGCUGGCUUUAGGUCAUUGUGUCCACUAAUAUAUCAAAGAACAGCUGUCCUAAGGCUCUGUGAUGACCAAUCACCCCUUCCAUCUGUCUCACCCACCCAAUCUCUCUCUCGCUCCAUCUCCUCCUCUUCAGCUCUGUCUUUUCCCUCCAAUCUCCUAUCUGUGUUUCUCCGCUUCUCCACCUCCCUUAUUCCCCCACAUUCCCACUGAGCAUCUUGCAUCCCCCCCUCUUUUCUAUCCAAAUCCCUUGGUCCCUCUGUGCUCUGAGCUUAUACUCGCGGCACAUGGACAGCUUUGGGAUUUGUUGUUUUCUGUUGGUACACACACACAAAUUAGAGAAAGCUCGAGUGACAUUCCACAGCCUCUCUUCUUUCUAGCAGAGCGUUUUCUGGACAUUAGACUACAAACACCU
ensembl:lncRNA